rnacentral:rRNA from 1 species
AUGGCGGCGGGGGGAACUGCGAACGGCGGCGCCCGGCACUACAGCCGCAGCGACAGAAGCUACAACCUGUGGCGCGUGGAGCUGCAACCGUGGCGGUCGGCGACUGGGAGCUACAACGCCGACGAUGCUGGAACCGGCCAGUUUUUUUGCUGGAACGGGCGACAGGAGGUGCUACAACAGUGGCAGCAAAAUGUUGGAACCAACAGCCACGGCCUCCAGCAGAUGAGGAACCGGCUUUUUAAAAAGCUUCAACCAUGUACUGGGAAGCUGCAACCGCAUGCACAAGAGCUGCAAGCCAUCUACACCAGAGCUACAACCGGAGGCGCCCGUCGCCGGCGAGGCUGCAAGGACUAG